GUGUUUAUUGUUAAAUUAUGUGAUAUAUAAUACCGUAAACCUCUGACUAUAAGCCCUGGGCUUAUAUUUUUUUGUAAGUAAUUUUUUAUGGGCUUAGGGGGGGGGGGGGGCUUAUAUGCAUGGGGGCCUUAUACAUGGGCAAUCAAUUGUGUUAGUAAUAAAUAAGUCAGUCAUAAACAGGAAAAUAAACAUGUAUUAAUAGUGGAUAGUAUUGUAUUAUAUAUUUUAUUAAUAAAAUUUGAUUUGAUUUGAACAUAGUAAGCUAUAAAGACAAUGACAGUGUUUCAAAUAUCGUUCUCUGCUAUAUUAAAAGACAAUGUCAAUGUUAAAUAACAUAGUGGGAUACUGGGCUUAUAUUCAGGGGACUUAUUUUCAGGGCGGNNNNNNNNNNNNNNNNNNNNGGGAUAUUUGGAAUGAGGUGAGCAUUAUAUUCAGAGGUUUACAGUAUACAGUUGAAAAAAGCUUGUAUUUUCUUGUCAUAGACACACAUUUCUGGGUGCAUAUAGAACAACAUAUACAUCAGGUUCUCAUGUCGAUCCAAUGGUAAUUUGAUAUCGCUGCCAUCACCAUAAUAUAGUGUAGCACAGAAUGCAUGGCCUUGUAGCAUACUUUGACAUACUAUCAUGCAUGUAGAAAUGCCUUAGUCAUUCAUGUGGAGAUAUGACUAUCACGAUAGAAUUAGUUACGCCAAGUAACAUGUCGUACACAUCAGGUAGCAGCUGAAAUGUUUUAAUAUUUGUCAUAAUAAGCCCAUAACCUGUUGGCAAAACAAUCAAAACAACUUCACCAUUUUACAAUGGCCGAGAUACAUUUGAAUGUCUCGU
rnacentral:lncRNA from 1 species